rnacentral:lncRNA from 1 species
CUCUCGGUCCGUUCUCUAAUAUGUGAAGAGCAUGAAACUUAUGAUGAGUCUGAUGAUGAUGGCUAUGGACUCAACUACUAGUUCCCAGCUACUCAACCGAUCGAGCUUCAUUCUUUUUAGUAAUUGCAUACGAUUGUUAAUUAAUUUGUCAUGAUAUAUUUCAUUCCAAAGCUUUCGAAUUCCUUAAUGUAGGAUGUAUUGCGUUAUAUUCAAUGGCAUGGGCAGGACUGGGCAUGGGAUUAUAAUUUGUUUCUAACGAUUAAUGUAUUAUAAGGAGAAUCUUGUUCAUCUAUGAAUUAUUAUAUAAAAAAGAAGCUCUAAAAAACGACAGAAAGGAAAUGUGAAAAACUAGAAAAGCAAUGAUCGAUUACGUACACUUAUCUUCAUAGUAUUAAUUAAAUGAUAACAUUUAAUCCAUAUAACAAUAUUCACUGACCCUAAUCCUAUACCAUCAAUGCUACUGAAAAAUAGGAAUAGAAAACUUAAACCUACGCAAACACAUAUUCAAAUCUUUAACAGCUAGUAUUUCUCAUUCUCUAUAAAAAAAAGAAAAAAUAAACUAGAACUAUGUUUCUUAAAAGCCUAUGGUAGCUUUGACUAUCUUAACGAUCCAGUUCGAUGGAAGGAAACAAUCAAGAGAACAAUGAGGCAACAACAACUGAUGAAUAUUUUCGCUCUCUUUCACCUCGUUAUCGAUUCAACCCUACUGAUCAAGAGUUGAUUCUGUAUUACUUGAAGCCAAAGAUCUUCAACUAGCCGCUACCCCGUAACAAGAUUUAUAAAAGGAAUAUUUACCAAUUUCAUCCCAAAUUGCUUUCCGGUUAGUGUUUUGAUAUCAUAUUCUUCUUCUGUUUUUGUUUAAUUAGUUUUUUCUAUAAAGUUAGCAAGAUAAAUUGUAAUGCCCUGACUCGAAUUUAAGAAAUAAUCUCGAAAAACCCUGAAUUCCUACUGCUCGAUUUCACCUUCCCAGGUUGAAUUGAAGAUCAAGGGUUUCUAAGUUUGAAACACCGCGAGCAACAUUGAUGGGUCAACCCUGAAAGGGUCGUCUGACCCCAUGUGUAGUCCCUCCCCCCCCACCCAAACAAAAGAGAGAAGAAAUCAUCAUCCUUAAUCACGUGUCUCAAGGGCGGUGGAGCAUCGCCUCCAGGGCUCCUGAAUUCUCUCGAGCCUUCUCCCCAUAAGGUCGGUGUAAGAGAUGGAGAUGAGGACAUCGAGUCAGUGUUGUCCCUUCUCUAGAAAAUUUUGGCCGUCUCUCACUCAUAUAUUUCCAAAACGGCCCGAGUCUAAUAACAAUGGUCUAGAUCAAGCAUUAUGGGUUAUACGGCCCUAGUCUGACAACCAAAUCCAAUGAUUAACAAAGUUUACUUAGUUUUUUUUUUUUUUUUUUGAUGAGAGAAAGGAAAUUACAAAGAGAAGCCUAUGCAACAGCCUAUACUAAAACGAUCAAAAUUAAAGACAUUAAGCGCGGAGAGCAGGUGACACGACCCACCCCAAAUUUCAUCCUGAAACCCAGAGUAAGUCGUGCGGGGACCACCUCCAAGGAAAAUUUACCGAAAAAUCGGCAUAACCUCCCUUGAAAAUGGACAACCCUUCCUAUUAAUACCUGCAAACACUUCUGAAAAUUUAAAUCCAACCUUAAACUCCUGGAACCUUCGUGCUCCCCAUAUCACAACAUCUCCCAAUUUAAUUACCAAUUUAAACAAGAUAAUCUCAUAGCCAACAGCCACAGUUCAGAGCAACUCUAUUUGAAAGGAAAUAAACUAGAAACAUAAAAAUGAGCGGAAGCUACACUAUUGACUAUGCCUCUUCUCCAAAUACGUCAGACCACAACUAUGCAAUCCUGCAAACUGGGCAUUUUUAAAACGAAGAGCCCAGGGGAAAACAUUUGAAAACGAAACGUUAGAGUGAGUGGACAAAAAUAAAUUUACGAAUAAAAUAUUUGUUUCCCCAAAACAAUUUCCAAAGAAAAAUCGAAUGCAUGCUGCAAGCGAUAAAACUUUCAUCUCAUACUAUCGAGCCUCUCAGGCUCUAUAAUAAAUGUAUGUAUUUACACACGUCCAUACUCCCUAUAUAAAUUCAAGAGUCUAUAUAGGGCUACUACGCUCGCGUCCAACGCUCACGUCACGCCUUAAUGCGGUGCUACACUACGCCAUUAAGGUGGACAGACGGGUGUAUAAAUAUGUGUCCAUACCCCCCUAUAUGAAUUAAACACUCAAAUAGGGCUACUACGCUUACGUCCAACGCUCAUGUCACACCAUAAUGCGGCUAUAUGCUACGCCAUUAAGGUGGACAGACACAUAUGGCUAGCUAGCAUUUUCUAUACAUACUCUCUCAUAAAUACGUAUUUAUAUUCACCGAAAAUCCCAUUUUCGGUAACUCUCUCAGAGAAAUAAAAGCGUACAAAAUUAAUUGACGUCAAAACUCCAACAAAAGGAAUGUUACAAUCAUGAACCAUAGCAUGCAUAUUAUUUCAAAUAAAAGUCCACUCACAGUAUUAGGCCUAAGCCUUUCAAUGCUCGGCAUACUCCUCGAGCGCUGCCUCCACUAUUCACAAUCUCGAGUCAAUCCCACGUCUGACAAUAAACAGAAGAAUAAAUUUGUCAGACCGGACUCCAAUAAUCAUUAACGAAUCGACUUCUUCCUAGUUUGACUAGGAUUUCCUAGGUUGACCAGAAUUGACCAAGUUUGACCAGGUUGACCAAUAGAUAUUAGAAUCAUUUUCUACUAACUUCACAUACUAAAACUUAUUUGGUUCCAAACCAAAUCUUAACCGGCAGUUGAAGUCACAAGCAAUUUCCAUGCCUUUAACACGUCAACCAAAUUACUAAGGUUACCCAAAAAAGGGUUUACUCAUAAAUAUAAAGUUUCCUAAAAUAGAAACUUGCCUCACUUAGAAAGAUUUUCCGACUACAACCUACAAACUUUCCUAUUACUGAAACGAUACACAACAGCAUGGAAAAAUGUCGAUAACUACCUCAAUAGUCUCUGCCUGAUUCUGCCCUCGUCGGAUUCUCUUGCCGGAAUUUCGCCAUAACCUCCCCAUAAACUCCUAUCACCAAGUUAUCGACAAAUAUCAACCACAACAAUGAAACAGUCAUUAACCAUCUCCAAAUAACACCGAGCAACAACACCAAAACACCUAACCCGAACUCAAACCUCACUACAACCCAACACAAAAGCUGAAACACCAAGCUUACCUUCAAAUUGUUCUUCUUCAUAAACCAGAAGCUCCUCCUUGCCAAACCUCAACAUGGAGGACUUCCAAACAUCCCCAGCUGCUUCCUUAAGCGCCACCUCCACCGAAUCAGCACCACACCACCUCGGGUCCCCUCUACGCCAAAACGCACCAAGCUUCUACCUUGGUCCAGUUCAAUGGUUGCAGCUCCACAAGUCACUCCAAGGUCCAACUAGACUCCCCGCAAGGCUUUAAGGACUCACCAAAACUCGAAGCACUUGUCGGAAACCACUGAACUAGGUCGCCGGAGCUAGGAACCCGGAACCCAGAAAGAGGCAGAGAGAAAAAGGAUUUUGAGAUUAAGGUUCGAUUUUAAGAAACAAAGACACAGAGAUGAAGAGAAGAGAAAGGCGAGCUGAGACUUACCAUCGGCGUCCGAUGAACUCGCCGGAAAACGUAGGAAAUUGGCAAACACAGUCGAGCUACCCUCGACCGAUCACCACCGAAUCGCGUUGCAAUUGCGAUCAAUAGACUGGGUUUUGAAGAGAAGAAUGAGGGGAAUGAUUAGGUGGUGUUUUUGCAGCAAGUGGUGGCCGGAAUCGGCGUCACCACGUCGGAGAUGAUGGAGGCAGGCGGAGAGGAAGAGAGAGCAGUCCGGGCUCGGGUCAACGCCCGUAUGUGGGUUUGACAAGGUCAACCCAUCUGUUUUCCCUUUAUACCCGAACCAACGGUCCAGAUCGAAACCCUAACCGAUCAGAUGGCCAAGAUUAAAAGUUAUAAUCUGAUUUCAGAAAAAUUAACUAUAACACCAAGCCUUCGAUAAAUCGUAGAAAAUAAUUGAAACUCCAAAAAUAAUUGGAGGACACCGAUGAACUCGUAUCGACGCGCACUAAGACCUCGGGUCCAUAAAAGAACUUGACAUUUUGAGAAAAACUCGACAAUAAAGUCGAGUGUUAAAUUACCAAAUUACCUAGCACGGUUAAAUUCUUCAGUAACUCGUGCUAUACCUAAUAAAUAGGUAAAAUUGGGUCCGGGAUAUUACAAUCUCCCCUCCUUAAGAAAAUUUUGUCCUCGAAAUUCCAAUCUGAACAAGCCAAGGUCAACAAUCAUUGAUCGACAAUAUACUACCCUUUGUUUCAUUAAGAAACUUAAUGGCUCGACUCUACCCAUCCAAACGCGGCAUCACCACAAUUAAAACACUGGUCUCUGACUCACCAAUCCCUUGCUCAACGCGAGCGGAACCUUUUUCAGAGACUCCGAAUCUUCACUGAUUCUCGCACUUCCGCUAACAAGUAGGAUUUCUCCGAAAUGACUACGAAUCUAUAACAUACUGUGAACAUUUCUUGAAAGUAGUUCCACAGUGCCUAAGCCAAAAUAUAAAUACCAAUAGGCAUGCUCAUGCUUUUCCAUACAACAAAAAUAGCUAACACACUCGAGGAGCAGAGUUCGAUUUCAACGUCGGCCUUAAAUCUUCUCACAUCACGCAACCAACUCGGCAAUACUAGGCGUAUGAUUCUACGUUGAAAUCCACUGGAUAAGAUUCUCAUAGAGGUCAAAAUUAAGACCCAUUAGAAGAACAAAUCUGAAAAUUCGAACACUACACAAAUUGCAGCAAUCACACUUCUAAUACCGAGAUACUUCGCGGAGCCAAGGCUCUCGCAAGUUCACCAAGCAACCCUGCUCUGCUUAAGUGAUUAGUCUAACAAGAGUUUAACCUCAAUUGCCGGGAUGGAAUUAUGCACUGAUCAAUAACUACGUCACUUAAAUCUCUUCACCAAAAUUAUGACAUUUCCACUUUGAACAUAAAAUCUGGCAACAAAUCGGAAUUCAAGUUCUCUCCUGAUCCUGCUAUAUCUAUAAAUCUCUUCACAAGAAUCCAAGAGAUAAACUGCAACAUAACUAUCAUGAGAAAACGAGUUUUCCUCCUUUUUGCUUACCAUAAAUAAAACUGACUGUUAAUGCCCACAAAAUAAUUAGCACGGUCAAAUCAAGCUGUCUGACUUAACCUUCCAAUAACAAUUACUUUGUUAGCAGAAAAUGAUCUGAAAAUCAGAUAUGCUCAAGUCUCCUACGCCUCCCAGGCGCCACGGCUUCCCACCAAAAAGAUUCUCCUAUAAACCGAGCUCGUAGCAUCAAGAUUAAUCAUCGAAUAUAAAAAUUAAUUUCCAUAUCAGGCCCACUAUUACACUUGUGGUUCACCAUCCAAUGAAAACUAUAAGUUCAAGCAAGAAUCAAAACUCAUGGCUAAACUCAGCUCAAGUUCCAGAAGAAAUAACUUAAAGGACACGAAAGGCAAGUCCUCUAACUUCGAGCUCAAAAGCUCCACAAAUCUUCGAUAUCCACCAAAACCCGUUCGAAAUCGCACUAGAAACCUCAACUAAUCAUCUCGACACCAACGGAUGAACGCACAACCAAAUUGCGAAGACCUCCCAAAUCAAACUUGGAUCAAUGAGUGGUCCCACCACCAUACGAUCCCGAGAAGAGACGCUGAUCAACAUAUCAAUAUCUACUACUCUCAAUACUAAAACUCUUAAUAAACCUUGACUCUAGGCGCUUCUUGAGUCAACAGGGGAAAACCCUCUCCCAUAAUGCUACAUCAUGAAAUAUACCUAUAACGACACAAACCAUCAAAAUCAACAUCACCAUGCAACUCUCAAACUACCACAUAGGAUUUACGGCAUCAAGACUCAUCGCUUAAAUGAACUCUAGCUCACUUGGGAUCACCACUGGAUUUAUUCCGAAUCCAUGACUACGACACAACUACCAAUUAAUCAUUACCUCGAAACUUCGACAAAAUAACCAGAAUCUCUACCAUUCAAAUCGAAGCGUUGAAUUUGCAUUCCAUAAUUUCAAGCUUUGAGGAUACUACCCAAAAACUACAGUAGGAAUAAUUUAAAUAUUCACACACACACCACAACCAAAACUUUACUCCAUCUCACCGAAUUAGAAAUAAGGUGAGAACAGAUCCUCCCAUUGUUGUGUCGUAGUUAGUCACCUAUUGUGAAAGAAAUGAUGUCAAAACCAACUUCAAUCACAAAUUUAAGACUUACAUCAACCACCCGGAAUGACAUUGCUUAAAAAAUUACUUUGGACACCCACGCACUCUUGCUUUAUGAUCCAGUGGGUUCUAUUUUACCGCUGCCACUUCCACCAAUUUCAUGCAACUACCUUAGAAUUUAUAAAAUAAAAACUCAUGACAACACCUAUUUAAAAUUUCACCAUGUGUUGUCGUAAAACUGGAGUGACCACAACCAUCCCGCUCUCACUCCACCAUUACUUUUCGAUUCCAUUACAUUAUCAUCUUUCCAAACACUCAACAAAUUUGGAAACCAAACUUCAACACCUGAAAUUCCGAAAGAAUCCAUACUGGCUCCACGAUUAAAAUAAUAUAACUGACAUCUCACUCCACGAUUCCAAACUUGCUUGAAACUCAACAUUUAGUGCCAUCAAUAAAAAUUUUAAAAAAUUCCCCGACUGUGGCACAACAAGAAGUUGUCACAACGCACUGACGAAUGACUUUUCUAAAAUCAACAAUCCAAGUCAUUCUACUUAGUGCUUUAACAAAUUUCAACUAACCCACAAUAGAGACCAAAAUCAUCAGAAAUCUUACUAUUCAUCGACUAUUAUUAUCCGUCAUUUCCAAAAGAUAUUACCACCACUAUCUUAAUNNNNNNNNNNNNNNNNNNNNCCCGUAUGUGGGUUUGACAAGGUCAACCCAUCUGUUUCCCUUAUACCCGAACCAACGGUCCAGAUCGAAACCUAACCGAUCAGAUGGCCAAAGAUUAAAAAGUUAUAAUCUGAUUUCAGAAAAAUUAACUAUAACACCAAGCCUUCGAUAAAUCGUAGAAAAUAAUUGAAACUCCAAAAAUAAUUGGAGGACACCGAUGAACUCGUAUCGACGCGCACUAAGACCUCGGGUCCAUAAAAGAACUUGACAUUUUGAGAAAAACUCGACAAUAAAGUCGAGUGUUAAAUUACCAAAUUACCGAGCACGGUUAAAUUCUUCAGUAACUCGUGCAAUACCUAAUAAAUAGGUAAAAUUGGGUCCGGGAUAUUACAGCAGGAGCUUGCGAUUUCAGAGAGUUGGAUUUGGGACCUGAUGCCCUAAGCUAGCCAUUGCAUCGGCCACAAAAUUUGCUUCCCGAGGGACAUACUUGAAGGUGAUCUCCAAACUUGGAAGCCAUCCAACAAACAUCACUAAGAAGAGUACGGAGUAAACAAAAUUUACUUAGUUAUUUAUCAUUUAUUUCAAAUGAUGUAUUUUUUAAUGCAUUUUUUUUCGAGUAAACAGGUUAAGAACUAACUCAUCGUUCUUACCUAAAAAUUUAUUGAUAAUCAAAAGAGGUUACAAAGCAAGGGGGACUAAGCCUAGACCUUACAAGCUCACCGUAACAAAUUUUGGAACCUCUUAAAGGGUGUUCAUGCUUCAAAAUAACAAAUCCGAACAAUGAUCAAUGAUAUAUAUACUUCCCCGAAUUAUUAUUAUUAAUAUAUAUAUAUUUUUUUUUCCUAGAUCGGUCGGGUAUUACAUAAACGAUCCAGUCCGGCCCAUCUUUUCAGUACACAAAGUUUGCCAAAGGAAACAAUAAAACUAGAACAACCAAGUCCGAGGCUAAACUUUU